rnacentral:rRNA from 1 species
UACGUAGGGUGCGAGCGUUUAAUCGGAAUUACUGGGCGUAAAGCGUGCGCAGGCGGUCUGUUAAGACCGAUGUGAAAUCCCCGGGCUUAACCUGGGAACUGCAUUGGUGACUGGCAGGCUUUGAGUGUGGCAGAGGGAGGUAGAAUUCCACGUGUAGCAGUGAAAUGCGUAGAGAUGUGGAGGAACACCGAUGGCGAAGGCAGCCCCCUGGGUCAAGAUUGACGCUCGAUGCACGAAAGCGUGGGGAUCAAACAGG